CUACCAGGUGCUGAACCUGAUCACAUUGCACAGGAGAUUGAAGAGAUUAUUGGGCUAGACUGCAGUAAUGCGAUUCACUGUUCAGCAAAGGAGGGUAUUGGUAUAACUGAAAUUUUAAAUGCUAUUAUAACAAGGAUUCCUCCUCCAAAGGAUACCUCAGAAAGCCCUAUGAGAGCUCUUAUAUUUGAUAGGUGACUAC